CUCUCUGUUGGAUUCGGAGUUGAGUGCAGUCUCUCUCUGCCCCUGUUACAAUGGUCUUGACCUCUCCUGCAAUAGUCUUGAGUAGAUUUCCUUGCCUGUUUAACUCUGCCCAGGGUGUGUUUCUUUGACAGCUUCCACCAUGAGAACAAGCCCGGACUUGCCUGCUGGAAGCUAAGAGACCACGUGGAGCAGGGCUAAGUCCUCCCUGCCAAGGCCAUCCCAGACCAGCCUGCCCUUAGCCGGCUGCGGACGCCUAAAUGAGCCCGGCGGAGACCAGCUGAGCUCGGCUUCGAAGCUGGCUCCCCACGUACCAACGUGGCCACCGAUAAGACAGAGCCACUGGUCUUGCCGCAGCAGGCAGGCCGUCGGGAAGCGAGCGCAGCGUGGUUUUCAGAGCGGGGGACACAAGCUCAGGAUGCGUCAAGAAUCGGAAGUUUGCUUCGAGAGGGAAUCCACACCCCCAAAGAGAAGCCAGGGAUGCGCAGGUGCAAAGAAAAGGAAGAUGAGGCAGCAGGAGAGACCCCAGAGGAAGCCAGCCCUGCCGACACCUCCCUCUUGGGCUUCCAGCCUCCAAAACGGGACAUUUGGGGGCUGAGGCGUGACGUCUCAAGCAGCUCAUAAUCCCUAAGCCGUUCUCUGGACUCCACUGUGCUGUGGCCUUUCCUGCCAACGGACUGCCUGCCGGAUGUGUACUUGGCCGCGUCGCAGAGAAGAACGAGUGUGCAUUUGCUGGUCACGUACUGAUGGAGGACUAGCAGCCAGGGAACGUGCAGUCAUGGAGCAAAGGGAGUCUGUGAUCUCUAGAACACACUGGAAAACCCAUACGUCGAUGAUGAGAACCUGCUGGGACGAAUGUUGGCAGCCACUAACACUGGAGUGUUUCACGUGUGAUCUUCCACUUCGUUCCAAAAGCCCCUUAGCUCACUUGUGGCAGAAGCAUGUUUUCCAAAAAGCCCGUGUUCUCCCAAGGCCCAGAAGUGUGUCCCACAUCUGCUGUGAAGGCUGCUCGGAUCCCAGAGGUCGAAGCUGUGGACUUCGCAGCUCCCGAUCCCUUCCUCCUUCUGCACAGAAAGGGCCGGUGGCUGCAUGUGGGUGGGGAGAGGGCCCCAGCCAACCCGAGGGGCCAUCUGGGCAGCAGGUCAAGGGGGACAGCUGAGGUCAGCCUGGCUCCGGCCUUCCACAGUCUUAGCUUCUCUGGGGUGACCCACAGCUUGAGGCAGGAGGGCUGGUUGCGCUUUGGAAUCAGACCUGGAUUUGAAUCCUACCUUUCCUACUUUAUAACUGUGAGCUCUUAGGAAAGUGUUUUUCAGAGCCUGUGUCUUUGGCUGUCAGGUGGGAGCAGGAUCCGUAACUUUCCGGUUUCGGAGAUACGUAAGAACCUGUGUGCGGAGGGCCUGUAGUCUGGGAUCUGCUCGGUGAGGAUGCCAUCCUCCCCGCUCUGCCGGCGAUGUCCAAGGGCUUCUCUGCCUAUCACAGUUCGUGUUUCUGGCUUCUCAUAGAGCCGUCCGGGUGCCUUGGUAAGGCGUCCUGAUUUCAACCUGCCAAUCUCUUCGGUAUUUACUCCCAGGGCCGAACGAUGGCUCUAACUUGGCCUGCCUCGCCAUCGUGUGCCAGGCUGACUCCUGAACAGCAGUUACCAGCCUGCCGCCUUGGACGCAUCCACUCCAGCCCCAUCUGGAGAAUCUGGCCUGCCCUGCGCUUCCCUUUCGAGGUUCUGCAUUCAGAGUUCCCUCUGGAGAUUAGUUAUCAUGGCACCUGGGAAAGAUGCCUUCUACCCCAGCCCCCCAGUGGUCCCUCCUCAACAUCUGGAAGCCCUUCAGGGACAGGCCCUUGGGGUUCCUGUUGUCACCCACAGAACCUAACAUAAGACCUAUUUAAAAAUGGUAGGUGGACCCCAACGAAAAAGCAAAAUGGGAGGGCUGCUCAUUCGUGAGGUCUCCAACGUCAUGAGCGUGCAGCCCUCAGCCCUGGUCCCCCACCGACUACAACUCUCCACCCCGGGCCCGGCGCCUGGCACACAGGCCUCAUCUGAACAGCGACCCCAGUCAACCCUGGAUGAGGCUGUCUGCUGUGCACCAGCUCUGAUUUGCAAUACGUGAGCUGUAGCUCAGUCCAGUUUAAAUCUUUCUGGCCAGGUGCAUCCAGCUAGUGUUAGAGGCAGGGCUGUAUAAUCUGACGUCAAAACUACCUCAGAGACUGGUGCGAUUUUUUUUUUUUGUAUUAAAAACCAUUUAGUGUUGGGUGCCUGGGUGGCUCAGUUGGUUAAGCGACUGCCUUCGGCUCAGGUCAUGAUCCUGGAGUCCCGGGAUCGAGUCCCGCAUCGGGCUCCCUGCUCGGCGGGGAGUCUGCUUCUCCCUCUGACCCUCCCCCCUCUCAUG